rnacentral:rRNA from 1 species
AGUGAACGCUGGCGGUGGCCUAACACAUGCAAGUCGAACGGCAGCACAGGAGAGCUUGCUCUCUGGGUGGCGAGUGGCGGACGGGUGAGGAAUACAUCGGAAUCUACCUUUUCGUGGGGGAUAACGUAGGGAAACUUACGCUAAUACCGCAUACGACCUACGGGUGAAAGUGGGGGACCGCAAGGCCUCACGCGAUUAGA